CUGGACACCGCUUUCCCCUGAAGCCUUAACCACGCACGAUCUGAAAGCGUGAGGUCACCGGCGAGCACGAAUUCAAGAGAGAACAAAAAAAAUCGUCGCCGCGCCGAGGAGAGAAAGAAAUCGCGCCAUACGCAUGGCCAUGGUCGUCGUCGGGGCUUCAGGGCCACUCAAGCUUGCAGCAGUUGCUUCUGGGGGCCUAACCACGGCGCGCCCUGCGUAGCAGGGUUGGGAAGACGGACUGGGAUCGCUCCUGGGCAGCUGUUGCGGUGCCGGUAGGGCAGUUGCGUGUUUGCGGCUGCUCCUGUGCGCUGGAGGGUCGCUGGGUCCGGCACUGUGGGCUCGUCACCAUAGUCCACGGAUUCGUACCGGAAAGUCUCACCGUGCGUGGAGGUCCGGGCAGGUGAACUUUCUGCGGCGGUUUGGCGGCCGAAGAUCUUGGAAUUUGUUGACGAAAUGCAUGCUCCUCCGCAUGUCCGCUGUGCGCCGUGGCCAGGGGUAUUCAUUCUGCGAUUGCCGGUAAGACACCUCCCAUGAUGUUCGCCGUCCUCCCUUGUACGUCUGGAUUAGAUCCGUUUUUUGGAUGGGACACCAGUGCACCGAGGCGCCGUUCUCCGACGUAGGCUACCGUCGUUGGGGCGGCGCCGCCGUACCCCUGUAGCUGAGCGAGGAAGAAAGACCCCUGGUCGUCCGAUUGGCUUUGGGCGGCCUGGAUUAGAGGCUCGUACCUAUUCAACUCGGUCGGAUCUCGACCGUUGAUCGGUUAUCCUAGGCUUGUGUUAGAUCUGGGCGUGGGACGUUAUGGUCCAUGGAUCUCGAAUCGUGCGGCUGGCACCUGAUACCGGUUCGCUGUUGCGCGAUUUAAUAUGGGGCGUGCAUCCUUGAUUCAACGGCCCGAAUUAACCGAUACCCUUUCGACCUGCGCGUUUUGCAAAAGAGACCUCAUAUUUAACUAUAAACAACCCGCAGUCCGCACUGUGGGAAUACUGAGUCUUGGGAAAAUUGUGAUUUAGGCCCUUGUCUUUUAAGAAAUAUUGUGUCCAGUCCAGAACACUUAGGAUAUUCAGAAAUUAAUAAAGAAAUAGGUUUUUAGUAUGAAAAUAAUUCCAUAAACUUGUAUAAUUGAUAGUUAAUUCAUUUUAGCUCCAAAUUGAGUCAUUCCAGAUGCUAUAAUUUUGUUUUAAUAUUGUCUAUCAACUAGUAACACUGUUUAGCCAUGAAACUUGAAUUAAAAUUGUCCAUUUGAAUUAAUCUGUUCUAGGUGCUACAUAACUUGAGAAAUCCAUAACUUGGUAACCGUAACUCCGAAUUUAAUGAUUCUUGUUCCCACGGUCUCGUAGAAACGCGUAGAUUAUGAUUACGCAAUUUAUUCUUAUGAUUGGUGUGAUGUUAAUUUUGCCUAUACCAUGUAUGUCUGUAUUGCUACGUUUAGCAGUGAGGUCACGUGUCAUCUGAAGAGCAAGUUGGUACCUUCUCAAGUGCCAGGCAAGUUGUGCCCCUUGAUCACUUCUUUUUACCCAGCCAUGUUCUGAUUAAUCAUAAUGAUCUGCAUAGGUUAAUUUUGAUGGGACCCAAUAGGUUACCCUAGUUUGAUUAUCUUUAUACCUUGUUACCACUGAACUUUUUGGGUAGUACUUGCUAGUGCUUUAUGUGGUUUUGGGUAUGAAGAUACAUUACUCAUGAUUAUACUUUUGUUAUCCGUUGUUAUUUAUCGUUCAUGAUAAGAUCAUUAUGUUAAUUGGAACAUGGAGCAACCACCCGGGAAAAUAGUGCUACCACAAGGGUAUAAUGGGACGCCCUUGGCUGAUUAAUUAGGAAAGCUAGUGGAGGACUACCUUACCCGAAAGGGGCAAGGGCAGUAGGGGAGUGGUCAGUGUAGGGAGGCCCUCGGGAUGAUUUUGCUGCGAUGGCGGUCAUGCAAGGGAUUCCUGCAUUGGAGCUUCCUAUAAACUGUAGCGGGUUUUCUGAAGCUAGUGGAACUUUGUAAAGGCCUCGUAGUGUUACCCUGCCUCGCCUCCUCGGUAGAGGUGUAUGGGAAGUCGCGAUCCCUUGGCAGAUGGGUAACAUGACUUGUGGGUAAAGAUGCGCAACCUCUGCAGAGUGUAAAACUGGUAUACUAGCCAUGCUCACGGUCAUGAGCGGCUCGGACACUCACAUGAUUAAAUUAUGGAACUUAAACUCAAUUUGUCAUAUGCAUUGCAUCGCAGGUGAUGUUGUUACUUUUGUUCUACUACUUAAUUGGGUUGGUAUUUACUUAUACUUAGUAAUUGCUAAUAAAAAUUUGACCAACUUUAAAAGCAAUGCUUAGCUCAAACCAUCCUCUUUGGUAAGCCUUACACUUCACGUGAGCUCCCACCUUUGGCGAGUUCAUGCACAUUAUUCCCCACAACUUGUUGAGCGAUGAACGUAUGUGAGCUCACUCUUGCUGUCUCACACCCCCCACAGGUCAAGAACAAGUACCGCAGGAUGAGGCGCUUGGAGGAUGCUGUGACGAGUUCGUGAGAGGUCUAGGCCGUCGUCUCCCAGUCAACUUUGGGUUGCUGGACCGCUGUCUCCUUAUAAUGUAUUUAUUUAUUUAUUUUGUAUAGAACUUCUAUUAUGUAGUAAAGAUGUGACAUUCGAUCCUGUGUCAUGAUUCAUCAUAUGUGUGAGACUUGGUCCCAGCACACCUGGUGAUUAUGUUCGCGCCCGGGUCUUGGUGCCCCAAAAUCCGGGUGUGACAGAAGUGGUAUCAGAGGAAUGUUGACUGUAGGACGAAACCUAGAUAGAACCGGACAACCAUUAUCUACUUACCUCUGCUAUUCUGAUUCUUUUCUAAACUUUUUUUAAUCUUUUCUCGUCUAUUCCCGCUUUACUCUGAUUAUUCUUACCUUUUAUUUCUAAAAGACAAAUGUGGAUUUCACACUUUGAAAUCCCGUACCUAAAGUGACUCUUAGGACUAGGAGACCUAAUCUUAGAAACAAAAACAAAACUAUUUUUAUGGGUAUCUAUACGCUUGAAUGUUUGUUCUUAUGAUACUUGUCUGAUUUGGAUCUUUGAUUGAGUAUGAUGAGUUGUGGAGUAAUGUCCAUAAUUAUAUCUGCAUAUACAUAAUGCUUAUAAAACUAACUAGACAAACUAGAUUAUCUCUCAUUAAAGUAUCUAGCCUAAUAAUAUCCAUCUCAUCAUAAAAGAUUCUAUCAUACACUCAUAGAUCCAUCUCAUCCCAAAAGAUCCUAACUUAUCCUAAUUAAAAUAUAUCUAGCUUAAUAGAUCCAUCCUAUCUCAAAAAAAAUUCUAACAUAUCCUAAUAAUAUUUAUCCUACCUUAGUAGAUCUAUCUAGCCUAAACUAGUCUAAUCUAGUCAUACCCAAUCUAAUCUAGACCCUAUCUAAUCUAAUAUGAUUUAACCUAGUGGGUGAUUCUUAAUGCUGGUAAAAAAAGAUAUGGCCAUACUCGUAAUUCACUUAAGACUAAAUUGGUGACUUAAAUCAACUUGGCCAUACUCAACAACUUGACCUACAUAACAGGUUACAUAACUAAUCCCAUCUAGCAUAUAGCUACCUACUAAACCCUCUACCCAUCUGUUACCUAUAGAUCUAUCUUGACCUUUUGUGUAACACCCCUGGUGUUACUAUAACUAAAACUUGAGCAUGGCAUCAUGAGCAUUGGCAUUGCAUAUGUUUGACACACCUAGAGUGCAUUCACUAGGCAAAAAUUUCAAACAAGUUGUAUUGUUUUAAGUAUUUUGCAACUAGAACCCUAGUUAAGGAACUUAACCCUAAAUGGGGAUUCUAGGGGUAAAACUUUACCCAAGUUAAGAAAACCUAAAUACUUUAGGGUAAAAGUCAUAAAAUGACCCUAAAAAUAAGCUUGAAUCACUUUUGUACCCCUGAGAUACCAGAAACCCUAAUUGGAACCCUGAAAAACCCUAAACCAAACCCUAGGGGCUUCUGUGCAAAAUUAGCCCACUUUUGGGCUAAAGUGCAAAAACCAAGCCAAAUAGGUUUCUUAAGUCCCUUGGUUCACAAAAAUGUGUACUUGAAAGCAAAACCCAAAGUUUUGGACUUAAAUGCAAAAUGGACCUUAUUUGACUUUUGCUCUAAGUCUGAAAAUCAGUGAAUGGGCUCAACUUUGGGACUUUGUAGCUUGCAAAGCAUAGGGUUUUUGCCCUAGGUCACCACAUCAAAGUUGAAGACCAAUUAUAGGAGAACAACUUUGCUUAAGGUUGUGAGCUUAGUUGUUAAGAAGAAUUUAGAGAAAACCAAGCCUAAAGUUGGGUUGUCAGGCUGUUAUGUCUGAAUUUUCAGACUAGCAGUGAACUGACCUCGACUUCAAGCUAGGUUUUGAGCAUAAUCCAGUGCUCAAAUAUGUUCAAGUCCUAUAGUCGAAUUGUAGAUGGUAUAUUGCUCUACACUAUUGCUGCAGAGAGUUGGAUUUGUUGCCACAUGAAAUUGAGAGAAAUAGGCGCUCCAAAGUGCUCUGUCAGGUGUUCUGAUGGAGUCUUCCCAUGGUACAGUACCCCGAGCUGAUAAGGUCGCCAGCAAACCGCCGCCGGUGGCUUUCCACCGUGAUUCACGUCGCCGGCGUCACGAUUCGCGCUCGGGUGUAUGGAUAACUUCGCGGCAUCAAAAGAUCUUCACCGCCCAUGCGCUGGACGUCACUCCGGUGACUCACCGCCGUCUUCCUCUACUGCUUUGCGGCUUGCGCGGAUUACCUCGCCGGUGACCGCCGCCUCCCGGACAUGUGCCGCGUGGCUUAGCCUUUCCACCGCACCACCGUGACUCCUCUAAGCUAUCCCAUCGUCGACGGGAAGCUCGCCACGCCAUUUGCCACGAAUUCACCGCACCCAGGUUCUUCUUCACCUCCGGCCGCCAGCACUGCUCGGUCAAAUUCACCACCGCCGCUUACCCUCGCUAUAAAUUGAAGCCCCCGCUAGCUCCGCUACGUCAUCCAGCACCCAGCCACCAAGAAUCGUCCUCAGUCGAUCGCCAGUGAGUCCCAAUUUCCGACUUCCCCCAAAUCCCUCUCCGCCACCGUAAACCACCCAUCACCGCGGCCAGCCCUUUCCAGGUUAGUUCAUCUCUCUCUCUCCCUUGUUUAAGCACCCUGGUUACUUAGUGAUGCUCGCCGACCCACGCAAUUGAACUAGAAACCCUCUGGUCGCUGGGAACUUGGGAUCGACGCCGCGGUUCUCGCCGUGAGCGUGGACAGUCCGUCCGCAGGGCGCUCUUGUGAAAUUAGUGCGUGUUCCGAGCUCACCUUAGGUCCGUAAGGCCUCCCCGAUGGUUAGUCCGGGCAGUCGUCGCCGGCCAUGGCCGGUACAGAGCUCGUCGGUGAUGAAUGGGGAGCGCGCCGUGACCAGGGGUAUUCGUGGAGAAGAAUUAGAAACCCAAGGGCCUUUCUGCAAUCCGUCAGUGACUUGAGAAAACAGUAAAAGAACCUGGUCGCAGUUAGUCUAAAGCGCAGGGACCUCUGCGCAAAACCGCCAGGGCGCGCGGGCGCGCGGGCGCUUUCCUCCCUGGACCUGGGCCGCCUGGGCUCAGAAUCGGCCCAAGACUGUUACAAGUUUCUCUUUUUCUUUUUGUUCCAGAGCCAAAACAAUUAUAGAAAAAUGUAGAAAAAUGCUAAAGCUGUGAAACCAAUUUUCCUAGGUUUGUUAUUUUCCAUAGUAUUUAAUAAAAAUAAGUUUGUGAUUUUUAGUGAAAGUAAGAAAUUUUAGGGUAUUUAAAAUGAUUAAAAGUAUUGGUUAUAGAUUUUUAGAAAAUAGUUGGUAAGUCCUAAAAUGCCUAAAAUUUUUAUAUGAGUGUUAUAUAAUAUUUAGAAGCCUUGGGUAGAGUUUGAAUUGAUUUGGACCUUGUUUGAUCACCAAACCCCAAAACACCCCCCCUGCCCUAUGAACUCCUUUACCGACUCCGGAAACCCUAAGUUCCCGGAACUCCGUGAAGGCAAGUUGUAUUCAAGACAUAACUAAUAAGUUUAUGUUGUCUUUGCAUCCUCAUGAGCAUCCCAUGGCAUCCAUUCUUAUACUUAUGUAUGGUUAUGAGUAGAACGUGAAGAAGAGGUAGAAGUCCCCGAAGAGCAAGUGCAACCACCUUUGGACACUCAGGCCGGGAAUAGUUUCUACUUCGACAUUUGUGGAUCCGAGCCUGAAUCACCUGUUAACGAAGGCAAGCCCCGGUGCAUGCAACCCCUUUCCUUGAAUUUUUAAAUACUUUUCGCACACUUAAGUCUAGUGAAAUGUGCAUUAAGUUCAUAGGAGUUACUUGAAACCCUUUGAUGCAUUGCUUUCCUUGACAUCCAUACCUUUAUAGAUACUUCUGUGAAGUAUCAAAAUUAUGAUUUACAAAAAUGCUUAGCCUUGCUUAGAUCUUGUGGAUAGAAGUUGUCCUCAAUUUAACCAUGGAGAGGAUAGCUUCUACCUGCAAGAAUAUUUUCAUUUGGAGCAAUAGUGGGAUCUUACUGCAAAGCUCCCCGUGAUGCUCUUUCAUCCUAAGGAACAGACACAUUCCUAAGGGUGGAAAUACUUAAAUGGAAACUUGGGGUAGGAACAGGUGAUGUUCUACCCAAGUUGGUUAAGGAUUAACGCGUAUGUAGGCGUGCUGACCGAGGACCCUUUAACUGGUCACAUGCCUCGUCAUGGGUAAGCCUUGCCUCGGGCAGACUAAGGCCGGAAUAAGACAACACGAGAUGGGCGUGGAGCGGUGGCGAGAGUAGCGUGUACCCUCCGUGGCAAGAGGCUGGACGGUGGUGUAUCUGUGCUCUCGGUCUGCGUGAACCUGAUCCGGUCUUAAGAACCCCGGUGGCGGGUUGACAUAUGCAAGGGUUAAGUGCUACAUAUGUCGUGUGAUUGGAGAUCCUCAGCUGAGUAUAAUCGAUUCGGAUCGCCGUACCUUCGCGGUUAUGAAGACUUGGUCACUUCCCUGCAACCUAGAGUCAGGAUGUGAACACAAUGGAUAAGAAUGAUGUUGUCUUGAUGUGAUGUGAAAUUAGACUAGAUGCAAAUGGAGUCUAUUAAUACUUAACAUGGCGUUAAAAGAUUGAAAGUAAGGACUCACUUUAGUAAGCUACUUCUGCAAAAAUAUAAGUUGAUUUUUGCUAAAGCCUCUCCUUGACUCCUAUUUAUCCAGCAUACCCUUGAGAGUCUUUUCCUUAGUCGGGUAAGACUUGCUGAGUAUUCCAUACUCAGGGUUUAUCCCUUCGUUGUUUUUAGGUGAGGAAGUAGCAGACUUUUGCUGCUUCUGUGCUAAGGUGGUUCCCAACAAGGAAAACCAAGACUGAAGUGCGAGAGGACUUGGUCCUCCAUCUAGGAUCUUUUGUUUUUUUGUCUUUCGGGAGAAGUUUGGUGUCUCCCUGGUUUGUAUUAUAUUACCUCUAUGCACUCACUUUUAGGCUGGUCUGUAAUAAUAUAACUCAAGCUUACUUUUGAAAUAAAUGUAAGAUUAUGUAAUUCGCUUCCGCAUUUCUUUAUCUCCGAUGUUCUGUAAUGUCUACAAGAUGGGUGAGACGUUCCUGGUAAGGUAAGGAAAGAUACCGAACUUGUCAAGUAGUUCAGGGGCACCUACAGGGUUGUCUGAUGUCUGUGAGACAAGGACAACUGUAGGUGGGCCUAAUUACUUGGGAGGUUCCGUCACAGCUGGUAUCGGAGCGUAGCCCUUCUUGGCAGAUAUUAUGAAGCAUCUUCAAAAGGAUUUUUUAGAGUCUUACCUAAAAAAAUUCUUUUCUCUUCUUACCUAAGUAUUCUGAAGAAGUCUAUUUUAAAGACCAGAUAGGAAGAGUGCAAUGUAUAGAAGGUUGAAUCGACUAAGGUUGAUUCUGUAAUUAUACAUGCAUCAUGCUAAGAAUCUUACUAAUGACAUUUUCCCCCUUAGAAAAGAUGCCGCCACGUACCAGGCUAACGGCACGCAAGUCCACGGGACCAAUUGGGGUGCCUCGGCAUCAAUUGGCUCCCCGACAUGAAAGUAGCAGCAGUGGAAGCAACGACCCGAUCGGAGACCUUGAAGCUCGUGUGAGUCGACUUCAAGCAGCACUUCAACAUAGGACUGAUGCUUGGGUCGCUGAUGGUGAUAGAAUCAACGAACUACGAAGGGACAUCCGACACUUGCAGGAUCAACUCGCUGAUCGAGACUUAGCUCUUGACUGGGCCGUCCAGUCUCGUUUGCUAAUGUGUGCUAAGGAAGCAAGGGCUUAGGCCCGAGUUAAAGAACUUAGCUCGACUGUUGAUAACCUGCAGGUUUACUGCAACACUUUGCACGAGGAAGUCCAUAUAUUAUACUCACAACUACACCCAAGUGAGCCUGCACCACCUGCUGAGGCAGAAGCUGGACCAUCUCACGUUGCGGGACGUGCGCUGGGUGGGGAGUUAGACCUUUUUGAGCCUCCUCCUUCCUUGAGGUUGGUAGAUGUCUGGACUCCCACACCUGACGAUGAAGCCGCCAAGACUGAUGGCAAGCAGGAAUAAGGGUGUAAUAGUAGUAGAGUAGUGUAUUGUAGGGUAUUGUAGGGUGUACUGUUGUAAAAUGGGUAUAGUAUCCUGCUAUGUAAUAUUGAGUCUGUAUCAUUACUCUUCAUAGUAAUGUAAAACGGAAGGUUUCCUUGGGCAUAUGAUGUUUAUUCAAAUGUUUUGCCUCAGAUGCCGACCAGGACUCGUGCACAGGAUACAGCUGGAACAUCCGGGGGUCGGGACGUUACCCCGAAUCCGCCUCCCGUUCCAUCCACGCUUGCCGAGGCAAUUGCUGCCUUGGUGAACGCCACAGCCGACAACACCCGCUUCCUGAGGGAGAUGGCGGGUCAGCAACAGCUUCAACAACAAGUAGGAAGAGGAUUCCAACAAGGUCCCCGUGAGACCACUUAUCUGGAUUUCUCUGAGACUCGUCCGCCUCUCUUCGUCAAAGCAGAAGAUCCGCUCGAGGCCGACGAAUGGAUACGGGUCAUAGAGCAGAAGUUUGGCCUUCUACGCUGUUCGGAAGUACAGAAGCCACUAUUUGCAGCACAGCAACUCCGAGGACCUGCCAGUACUUGGUGGGGGAACUUUGUGGCCAUCCAGCCGGACAACCAUCAAAUUACAUGGAACGAGUUCAAAGCAGCAUUCCGCGAGCAUUACAUUCCUGAGGGAGUGCUACACAUGAAACAAGAAGAGUUUAUGAAACUGAAGCAAGGCGGAGAUACCGUCACUCAAUACCUCAACAAGUUCAAUCACCUGUCACAGUACGCAAUUGAUCAGGUGAAUACGGAUUUGAAAAAGAAGAAUUGUUUUAUGAGAGGACUGAACGACCGGAUGCAGCGAAAAAUGGCUGCAUGUAUUGAUCUUACUUAUGGAAAGGCUGUCAGCACAGCCUUAUCUGUGGAGGCCAAAUAUGCAAAUUCUGGAAAGACUAAGGAAUUCGGUGGUGAGCGGCCAAAUCAGGGCCAGGCGAAGAAACCACGGUUUGUGAUUCGACCCUCAAACCAAAAUCGCCCUUUUUCUCGUCCACCUUCAUUUCCCUUCAAGCAGCCUAUUAUUAUCCGCCCCAACAAUGCCCCCACUACCCCAAAACAGCCGGGUGCCCCAGGCACUCGAUUCCCUGCACUGCCAAGUUCUUCAACUGGAUGUUUUAACUGUGGCAAAUCUGGGCAUUUUAUUAAAGAUUGUCCCUAUCCAAGGCAAAAUCAGGCUAAUAAUCAGCAAGGAUCGGGAAAUUCAGCUCCAGGCAAGGGAACUACUUCGGGCAAGAAUACCAAGAAAACGGGGCGAGUAUAUUAUACGCAAGUGGCUACCACACCGGAGGGAGAGCCGGUGAUGAUGGGUAUGUUCCCUGUGGCCAGUCACCCAGCAAUAAUUCUUUUUGAUUCUGGUGCUUCACAUACAUUUAUUAGCAAGAAGUUUGUGGAACAACAUCAUAUUGCAUACCAUGAAUCAAAGGAGGGAUUUAAAAUUCAUUCACCUGGGGGACACAUUUAUACUAAAGAAGUGGCCUAUGGAGUGCCAGUAGCAAUGGCCGGACGGAACUUUCCUGCUAAUAUGAUUGUUCUGAAGGGCCAGGAUAUAGAUGUAAUUUUGGGAAUGAAUUGGUUAACCCAAUAUAAGGCAAUUCUCAACACUGAACUCGGAACCGUCAGGUUGAGUUAUAACCAAGAAGAGAUUCUUUUGACUCUCCCCGCAACCAAUCCAGCCAAAGCUUCUGGUAGAGUCUAUGAAGCCAUUGUACCGGAGAUCAAGAAUAUUCCGGUAGUAUGUGAGUUUCCAGAUGUAUUUCCGGAAGAUUUGCCUGGACUACCCCCUGAAAGAGAUGUAGAAUUUGUGAUUGAGCUAAAGCCCGGUACGGCUCCAAUUUCCCGAAGAUCGUACCGUAUGCCCCCAAAUGAAUUGGCAGAAUUGAAGAUUCAAUUACAAGACCUGCUGAAUAAAGGAUUCAUCCGGCCAAGCUCGUCUCCGUGGGGUUGUCCCGCCAUCUUUGUGAAGAAGAAGGAUCAAACCUUGCGCAUGUGCGUGGACUAUCGGCCCCUGAAUGAGGUCACCAUCAAGAAUAAGUACCCUCUUCCAAGAAUCGACAUCUUAUUUGAUCAACUAACUGGGGCGAGGGUAUUUUCUAAAAUUGAUCUCAGGUCGGGCUAUCAUCAGAUCCGUAUUCGGCCCGAGGAUAUACCGAAGACCGCGUUUACUACGCGGUAUGGAUUAUUUGAAUACUUGGUAAUGUCUUUUGGGCUCACAAAUGCUCCUGCCCAUUUCACCUAUUUGAUGAACUCGGUGUUCAUGCCUGAAUUGGACAAGUUCGUGGUAGUCUUCAUUGAUGAUAUCUUGAUAUAUUCCAAGAAUGAAGAAGACCAUGCUCAGCAUUUACGGAUUGUAUUGACGCGCCUAAGGGAACAUCAGCUAUAUGCCAAGUUCAGCAAGUGUGCGUUCUGGCUGGAAGAAAUUCAAUUUUUGGGGCACGUAUUAUCAGCUAAAGGAAUUGCGGUAGAUCCUAGCAAGGUCAAAGAUAUUCUGGAAUGGAAACCCCCAACGACUGUUCACCAAGUCCGGAGUUUUCUGGGACUAGCUGGGUACUAUCGCAGAUUCAUACCAGAUUUUUCCAAGCUUGUGAAGCCAAUCACAAGUUUGUUGAAGAAUGACACUAAGUUCAAUUGGUCUUCUAAGUGCAAUGAAGCCUUUGAACAACUGAAGACACUAUUGACCACUGCUCCGAUAUUGGCUCAACCGGACAUCACUAAACCUUUUGAUGUAUAUUGUGAUGCGUCAGGCAGUGGACUCGGCUGUGUGUUGAUGCAAGAAGGCCGAGUGAUUGCGUAUGCUUCAAGGCAGUUGCGCCGACAUGAGGAGCACUAUCCAACUCAUGAUCUGGAGUUAGCUGCUGUGGUUCAUGCCCUAAAGAUUUGGCGUCACUAUCUGCUGGGAAAUAUCUGUCAUAUAUAUACAGAUCAUAAAAGUUUGAAGUACAUCUUCACCCAGUCAGAGUUAAAUAUGAGGCAAAGACGAUGGCUUGAGCUCAUCAAAGACUAUGAACUGGAGAUCCAUUAUCACCCAGGCAAGGCCAAUGUGGUGGCAGAUGCAUUGAGUCGUAAGACUUCCUGCCACUGUCUUAUGGCAAAGAUCUUCGAGAACACUUUAUGUCAAGAAAUGGAAAAGCUAAACCUGGGGAUCAUCCAACAAGGGACUCUAAAUCAGUUAAGGCUUGAGUCAAUCAUUUUGCAAAGAAUAAUUGAUGCUCAAAAGGAUAAUCUGGGUAUGAAGCACAUACGAGAAAAGAUAAGGGCUGGAACAGCCAAGUGUUUCAAAGAAGACGAUCAAGGUGUGAUAUGGUUUAAAAACCGCAUAGUUGUGCCAAAGAACGAAGAGCUCCGCCAGCAAAUUCUGGAUGAGGCACAUCUUAGUCGCUAUUCUAUUCAUCCCGGAAGCACUAAGAUGUAUCAAGACUUAAAGCAACAUUACUGGUGGACGAAAAUGAAGAUUGAAAUUGCACGCUAUGUGGCGAAAUGUGACACUUGCAGACGUGUCAAGGCCAUACACAUGAAAACUGCCGGUCCAUUACAAUCUUUGCCAAUCCCAACAUGGAAAUGGGAAGACAUCAGUAUGGACUUUAUUGUGGGAUUACCCAGGACGGCCAAAGGGUAUGAUUCUAUUUGGGUUAUAGUUGAUCGACUCACAAAGAUUGCCCACUUCUUACCCGUCAGGACCAAAUAUACAGUAGCCACUUAUGCAGCAUUAUACAUUGCCCGUAUUCUCAGUCUGCAUGGUGUUCCGAAGACCAUUGUGUCGGAUCGUGGACCUCAAUUUGUAGCCAAGUUUUGGGAAGCACUUCACAACUCCUUGGGUACUAAAUUACUCCACAGUUCGGCUUAUCAUCCUCAAACCAGUGGGCAGACUGAGAGGGUGAACCAAAUACUUGAAGAUAUGCUGCGGGCAUGUGUCCUGGAUUUCUCACUGAAAUGGGAUGAAUGUCUGCCUUUAGCGGAGUUUUCAUAUAAUAAUAGCUACCAAGAAAGUAUCAAGAUGGCACCCUUUGAAGCUUUAUAUGGACGACGGUGUCGGACUCCGCUAAAUUGGUCUGAACCUGGAGAAAGAUACUUCUUUAGACCUGAUAUGGUGAAAGAGGUCGAAGAAAAGGUUCAGAGAAUUGUUCAUAAUAUGAAGAAAGCUCAAGCACGGCAAAAGAGUUAUGCAGACCGACGACGACAACCCUUAUGCUUUCUGGUAGACGAUUAUGUCUACUUAAAGAUUUCACCAAUGAAGGGUGUAUCGCGUUUCGGGGUAAAAGGGAAACUUGCACCCAGAUACAUUGGUCCAUUCCUGGUACUUGAGCAAUGUGGACCAGUGGCGUACCGACUUCAGCUCCCCGAAACAUUGUCUGCUGUGCAUAAUGUGUUCCACGUGUCACAACUAAAGAAGUGUCUUCGGGUUCCUGAUCGAACCGUUGAAGUGACUGAUGUUGUCCUGGAACCAGACUUAACAUACUCGGAGCAUCCUAUUCGAGUUCUGGAUCAAAAGGACAGGGUCACCCGAAGAAAGACUCUCAAGUUCUACAAGAUACAGUGGAACCAACAUUCGGAAGAUGAGGCUACAUGGGAAACCCAAGACUUCUUAGAUAAGAAUUUUCCUGGCUUCCUAGCCUCAUGUAAAUUGUAAAGUCUGUAUAGCUGUUGUAAUGCAGAAAUAACCCCCACAUCACCCCUGUCUUGUACCAAAAAUAAGGAAAUAAAAAUGUGAUGCGUUUCCUUUACCAUUACCUACCCUAGGAUUUUUAAUCUCGGGACGAGAUUCUUUUAUGGGGGGAAGGAUGUAACACCCCUGGUGUUACUAUAACUAAAACUUGAGCAUGGCAUCAUGAGCAUUGGCAUUGCAUAUGUUUGACACACCUAGAGUGCAUUCACUAGGCAAAAAUUUCAAACAAGUUGUAUUGUUUUAAGUAUUUUGCAACUAGAACCCUAGUUAAGGAACUUAACCCUAAAUGGGGAUUCUAGGGGUAAAACUUUACCCAAGUUAAGAAAACCUAAAUACUUUAGGGUAAAAGUCAUAAAAUGACCCUAAAAAUAAGCUUGAAUCACUUUUGUACCCCUGAGAUACCAGAAACCCUAAUUGGAACCCUGAAAAACCCUAAACCAAACCCUAGGGGCUUCUGUGCAAAAUUAGCCCACUUUUGGGCUAAAGUGCAAAAACCAAGCCAAAUAGGUUUCUUAAGUCCCUUGGUUCACAAAAAUGUGUACUUGAAAGCAAAACCCAAAGUUUUGGACUUAAAUGCAAAAUGGACCUUAUUUGACUUUUGCUCUAAGUCUGAAAAUCAGUGAAUGGGCUCAACUUUGGGACUUUGUAGCUUGCAAAGCAUAGGGUUUUUGCCCUAGGUCACCACAUCAAAGUUGAAGACCAAUUAUAGGAGAACAACUUUGCUUAAGGUUGUGAGCUUAGUUGUUAAGAAGAAUUUAGAGAAAACCAAGCCUAAAGUUGGGUUGUCAGGCUGUUAUGUCUGAAUUUUCAGACUAGCAGUGAACUGACCUCGACUUCAAGCUAGGUUUUGAGCAUAAUCCAGUGCUCAAAUAUGUUCAAGUCCUAUAGUCGAAUUGUAGAUGGUAUAUUGCUCUACACUAUUGCUGCAGAGAGUUGGAUUUGUUGCCACAUGAAAUUGAGAGAAAUAGGCGCUCCAAAGUGCUCUGUCAGGUGUUCUGAUGGAGUCUUCCCAUGGUACAGUACCCCGAGCUGAUAAGGUCGCCAGCAAACCGCCGCCGGUGGCUUUCCACCGUGAUUCACGUCGCCGGCGUCACGAUUCGCGCUCGGGUGUAUGGAUAACUUCGCGGCGUCAAAAGAUCUUCACCGCCCAUGCGCUGGACGUCACUCCGGUGACUCACCGCCGUCUUCCUCUACUGCUUUGCGGCUUGCGCGGAUUACCUCGCCGGUGACCGCCGCCUCCCGGACAUGUGCCGCGUGGCUUAGCCUUUCCACCGCACCACCGUGACUCCUCUAAGCUAUCCCAUCGUCGACGGGAAGCUCGCCACGCCAUUUGCCACGAAUUCACCGCACCCAGGUUCUUCUUCACCUCCGGCCGCCAGCACUGCUCGGUCAAAUUCACCACCGCCGCUUACCCUCGCUAUAAAUUGAAGCCCCCGCUAGCUCCGCUACGUCAUCCAGCACCCAGCCACCAAGAAUCGUCCUCAGUCGAUCGCCAGUGAGUCCCAAUUUCCGACUUCCCCCAAAUCCCUCUCCGCCACCGUAAACCACCCAUCACCGCGGCCAGCCCUUUCCAGGUUAGUUCAUCUCUCUCUCUCCCUUGUUUAAGCACCCUGGUUACUUAGUGAUGCUCGCCGACCCACGCAAUUGAACUAGAAACCCUCUGGUCGCUGGGAACUUGGGAUCGACGCCGCGGUUCUCGCCGUGAGCGUGGACAGUCCGUCCGCAGGGCGCUCUUGUGAAAUUAGUGCGUGUUCCGAGCUCACCUUAGGUCCGUAAGGCCUCCCCGAUGGUUAGUCCGGGCAGUCGUCGCCGGCCAUGGCCGGUACAGAGCUCGUCGGUGAUGAAUGGGGAGCGCGCCGUGACCAGGGGUAUUCGUGGAGAAGAAUUAGAAACCCAAGGGCCUUUCUGCAAUCCGUCAGUGACUUGAGAAAACAGUAAAAGAACCUGGUCGCAGUUAGUCUAAAGCGCAGGGACCUCUGCGCAAAACCGCCAGGGCGCGCGGGCGCGCGGGCGCUUUCCUCCCUGGACCUGGGCCGCCUGGGCUCAGAAUCGGCCCAAGACUGUUACAAGUUUCUCUUUUUCUUUUUGUUCCAGAGCCAAAACAAUUAUAGAAAAAUGUAGAAAAAUGCUAAAGCUGUGAAACCAAUUUUCCUAGGUUUGUUAUUUUCCAUAGUAUUUAAUAAAAAUAAGUUUGUGAUUUUUAGUGAAAGUAAGAAAUUUUAGGGUAUUUAAAAUGAUUAAAAGUAUUGGUUAUAGAUUUUUAGAAAAUAGUUGGUAAGUCCUAAAAUGCCUAAAAUUUUUAUAUGAGUGUUAUAUAAUAUUUAGAAGGCUUGGGUAGAGUUUGAAUUGAUUUGGACCUUGUUUGAUCACCAAACCCCAAAACACCCCCCCUGCCCUAUGAACUCCUUUACCGACUCCGGAAACCCUAAGUUCCCGGAACUCCGUGAAGGCAAGUUGUAUUCAAGACAUAACUAAUAAGUUUAUGUUGUCUUUGCAUCCUCAUGAGCAUCCCAUGGCAUCCAUUCUUAUACUUAUGUAUGGUUAUGAGUAGAACGUGAAGAAGAGGUAGAAGUCCCCGAAGAGCAAGUGCAACCACCUUUGGACACUCAGGCCGGGAAUAGUUUCUACUUCGACAUUUGUGGAUCCGAGCCUGAAUCACCUGUUAACGAAGGCAAGCCCCGGUGCAUGCAACCCCUUUCCUUGAAUUUUUAAAUACUUUUCGCACACUUAAGUCUAGUGAAAUGUGCAUUAAGUUCAUAGGAGUUACUUGAAACCCUUUGAUGCAUUGCUUUCCUUGACAUCCAUACCUUUAUAGAUACUUCUGUGAAGUAUCAAAAUUAUGAUUUACAAAAAUGCUUAGCCUUGCUUAGAUCUUGUGGAUAGAAGUUGUCCUCAAUUUAACCAUGGAGAGGAUAGCUUCUACCUGCAAGAAUAUUUUCAUUUGGAGCAAUAGUGGGAUCUUACUGCAAAGCUCCCCGUGAUGCUCUUUCAUCCUAAGGAACAGACACAUUCCUAAGGGUGGAAAUACUUAAAUGGAAACUUGGGGUAGGAACAGGUGAUGUUCUACCCAAGUUGGUUAAGGAUUAACGCGUAUGUAGGCGUGCUGACCGAGGACCCUUUAACUGGUCACAUGCCUCGUCAUGGGUAAGCCUUGCCUCGGGCAGACUAAGGCCGGAAUAAGACAACACGAGAUGGGCGUGGAGCGGUGGCGAGAGUAGCGUGUACCCUCCGUGGCAAGAGGCUGGACGGUGGUGUAUCUGUGCUCUCGGUCUGCGUGAACCUGAUCCGGUCUUAAGAACCCCGGUGGCGGGUUGACAUAUGCAAGGGUUAAGUGCUACAUAUGUCGUGUGAUUGGAGAUCCUCAGCUGAGUAUAAUCGAUUCGGAUCGCCGUACCUUCGCGGUUAUGAAGACUUGGUCACUUCCCUGCAACCUAGAGUCAGGAUGUGAACACAAUGGAUAAGAAUGAUGUUGUCUUGAUGUGAUGUGAAAUUAGACUAGAUGCAAAUGGAGUCUAUUAAUACUUAACAUGGCGUUAAAAGAUUGAAAGUAAGGACUCACUUUAGUAAGCUACUUCUGCAAAAAUAUAAGUUGAUUUUUGCUAAAGCCUCUCCUUGACUCCUAUUUAUCCAGCAUACCCUUAAGAGUCUUUUCCUUAGUCGGGUAAGACUUGCUGAGUAUUCCAUACUCAGGGUUUAUCCCUUCGUUGUUUUUAGGUGAGGAAGUAGCAGACUUUUGCUGCUUCUGUGCUAAGGUGGUUCCCAACAAGGAAAACCAAGACUGAAGUGCGGGAGGACUUGGUCCUCCAUCUAGGAUCUUUUGUUUUUUUGUCUUUCGGGAGAAGUUUGUUGUCUCCCUGGUUUGUAUUAUAUUACCUCUAUGCACUCACUUUUAGGCUGGUCUGUAAUAAUAUAACUCAAGCUUACUUUUGAAAUAAAUGUAAGAUUAUGUAAUUCGCUUCCGCAUUUCUUUAUCUCCGAUGUUCUGUAAUGUCUACAAGAUGGGUGAGACGUUCCUGGUAAGGUAAGGAAAGAUACCGAACUUGUCAAGUAGUUCAGGGGCACCUACAGGGUUGUCUGAUGUCUGUGAGACAAGGACAACUGUAGGUGGGCCUAAUUACUUGGGAGGUUCCGUCACAUUUUGUCCCAAACUCGGAUGGAUACAUCAAAGCUCAAGAAGGAAGAGAUCAAUCUCAUUAAAGAAUAGGAAUCAAGCUAGACCCCAAAGGAAGCUAGAUUAUGCCAGGUCAACACUCAUUUUAUGCGACCUAUCCACUAACCAUUUGUCCCUACCUACAAGCCAUCUUAACUAUAUGUCCCCAACUUGGGUGACGAUUCCAAGGCCGAAGAUCGAAGAUGAUCGACCUCAUCAAAUCAAGGAAGGAUAGGAUUUAAGCUAGAUCUUCAAAGGAAUCAGGAUCCACAAGUCUUGGAUGGAGUCUUUCCUUACCCUACUAUGUCCUACCCAAGCCUAUCCAUGCUUUAAAAACAUUUUUUACACAUUGGAUGGUUGUAUAUAUAUAUAUAUAUAUACCCAUACCUAUAAAAAAAUUCUUUAUUUUGGAACCAAUUAGAAACUGAAAGCUGAAUUACAAACCAAUCCUUCUACAUCCUUUUUCUCUUACAAAUCUCGAGGACGAGAUUUCUGUUAAGGGGGUAGGAUUUGUAAACUAUCUUCAAAGCCGGGAGGUUGCUCAACAUAGACCUCUUCCUUGAUUGGUCCAUUGAGUAAGUGUAAAGCCCUAAAAUUGGUAUAAAAAAAGAUUAAUAAAUGCAUAUAUUGAUAUAAUAGUGUUUUAGGGUUUUUUGAAACCUUUGGAUAUUAUUGGAAUUCUCAUGCUUUUGAAUGUCCAAUUGAAUAGAAUUAAGCUAGCCAAAUAAUAAAAUAAAUAGAUAUAAGAUUAUGCACCUCAUGAUGGAGUUCUUGUAUUUUUACCUGUGUACACAAAACUUUGAGACAAGUUUAAGUUUGAAAAGUAGAAUUUGUAAUACCUAAAAUUUUAUAUUGAGAUUUAGAAGAGAUUAAAAAAAUCUAAAAUCUAUUUUAAAAACUCAAGUAAGAAAUAAUAGAAUGACGUCUAUUUUGUUUGUUUGAGCAUAUUAUACUUUCACGAGUUAUCUAUGGAGCCGUAUUUGCCUAAAUGAAUAAAAGGACUAAAAUAUAUAGGUAUAUAACUCUACAUUGUAUGUUGAGAUUUUCUUUGAUUGUGCAUUCUAAUUAAACUUGGAAUUCAAACUUUAUUAGAAUUUGAUUUGAAAUUCGAAAUUUGAAAAUAAAAAAGAGCUAAACCCCUGCAUAGGCUGGCUUCUCCACUGCUUGGGCCAGACGCGCGCGCACACAACUUGCCUACCCAUAAGCACUUGGGUGCCAACGGCUGGGCUAAAUUACUCUCCCGCAUGACAUAAACCCAACCGCAUAGCCACACUAGUUUUGCCUCAAUUAUUUAUUCAUCUUGCCGCAACAUACGUCAUCCUGACAUAAGCAAUGAUGUCAUCUAGCUGGCUCUCCCACGUAUCGCUGGUAUGGAUCCGACUAGCAUUUGUGCGCUCAGCCGUGUUGCUGCGAAACGGGCCCCCUAGCCAGUGCCUCCGUGAACCUGUUCGUGCCUGGUUUCGUUGAUAGGUGGAGUCGCAUAUACAGGCUCUUUGUUUCCAGUUCGUUGAAGAUCCCAGCAAUCCUUGCGGUCGUUGCAACAACCCGCCGAGAUAUCUGCUGCUCGAUUACUCUGGCUGUUCCGUGCGCUCGCUCCCCAGGCUAUAAAUCGGGCCCUCGCCACCCCCCCUCUAAUCCAUCUAGCAAGCCAUGGCUGGACACCGCUUUCCCCUGAAGCCUUAACCACGCACGAUCUGAAAGCGUGAGGUCACCGGCGAGCACGAAUUCAAGAGAGAACAAAAAAAAAUCGUCGCCGCGCUGAGGAGAGAAAGAAAUCGCGCCAUACGCAUGGCCAUGGUCGUCGUCGGGGCUUCAGGGCCACUCAAGCUUGCAGCAGUUGCUUCUGGGGGCCUAACCACGGCGCGCCCUGCGUAGCAGGGUUGGGAAGACGGACUGGGAUCGCUCCUGGGCAGCUGUUGCGGUGCCGGUAGGGCAGUUGCGUGUUUGCGGCUGCUCCUGUGCGCUGGAGGGUCGCUGGGUCCGGCACUAUGGGCUCGUCACCAUAGUCCACGGAUUCGUACCGGAAAGUCUCACCGUGCGUGGAGGUCCGGGCAGGUGAACUUUCUGCGGCGGUUUGGCGGCCGAAGAUCUUGGAAUUUGUUGACGAAAUGCAUGCUCCUCCGCAUGUCCGAUGUGCGCCGUGGCCAGGGGUAUUCAUUCUGCGAUUGCCGGUAAGACACCUCCCAUGAUGUUCGCCGUCCUCCCUUGUACGUCUGGAUUAGAUCCGCUUUUUGGAUGGGACACCAGUGCACCGAGGCGCCGUUCACCGACGUAGGCUACCGUCGUUGGGGCGGCGCCGCCGUACCCCUGUAGCUGAGCGAGGAAGAAAGACCCCUGGUCGUCCGAUUGGCUUUGGGCGGCCUGGAUUAGAGGCUCGUACCUAUUCAACUCGGCCGGAUCUCGACCGUUGAUCGGUUAUCCUAGGCUUGUGUUAGAUCUGGGCGUGGGACGUUAUGGUCCAUGGAUCUCGAAUCGUGCGGCUGGCACCUGAUACCGGUUCGCUGUUGCGCGAUUUAAUAUGGGGCGUGCAUCCUUGAUCCAACGACCCGAAUUAACCGAUACCCUUUCGACCUGCGCGUUUUGCAAAAGAGACCUCAUAUUUAACUAUAAACAACCCGCAGUCCGCACUGUGGGAAUACUGAGUCUUGGGAAAAUUGUGAUUUAGGCCCUUGAUCUUUUAAGAAAUAUUGUGUCCAGUCCAGAACACUUAGGAUAUUCAGAAAUUAAUAAAGAAAUAGGUUUUUAGUAUGAAAAUAAUUCCAUAAACUUGUAUAAUUGAUAGUUAAUUCAUUUUAGCUCCAAAUUGAGUCAUUCCAGUUGCUAUAAUUUUGUUUUAAUAUUGUCUAUCAACUAGUAACACUGUUUAGCCAUGAAACUUGAAUUAAAAUUGUCCAUUUGAAUUAAUCUGUUCUAGGUGCUACAUAACUUGAGAAAUCCAUAACUUGGUAACCGUAACUCCGAAUUUAAUGAUUCUUGUUCCCACGGUCUCGUAGAAACGCGUAGAUUAUGACUACGCAAUUUAUUCUUAUGAUUGGUGUGAUGUUAAUUUUGCCUAUACCAUGUAUGUCUGUAUUGCUACGUUUAGCAGUGAGGUCACGUGUCAUCUGAAGAGCAAGUUGGUACCUUCUCAAGUGCCAGGCAAGUUGUGCCCUUGAUCACUUCUUUUUACCCAGCCAUGUUCUGAUUAAUCAUAAUGAUCUGCAUAGGUUAAUUUUGAUGGGACCCAAUAGGUUACCCUAGUUUGAUUAUCUUUAUACCUUGUUACCACUGAACUUUUUGGGUAGUACUUGCUAGUGCUUUAUGUGGUUUUGGGUAUGAAGAUACAUUACUCAUGAUUAUACUUUUGUUAUCCGUUGUUAUUUAUCAUUCAUGAUAAGAUCAUUAUGUUAAUUGGAACAUGGAGCGACCACCCGGGAAAAUUGUGCUACCACAAGGGUAUAAUGGGACGCCCUUGGCUGAUUAAUUAGGAAAGCUAGUGGAGGACUACCUUACCCGAAAGGGGCAAGGGCAGUAGGGGAGUGGUCAGUGUAGGGAGGCCCUUGGGAUGAUUUUGCUGCGAUGGCGGUCAUGCAAGGGAUUCCUGCAUUGGAGCUUCCUAUAAACUGUAGCGGGUUUUCUAAAGCUAGUGGAACUUUGUAAAGGCCUCGUAGUGUUACCCUGCCUCGCCUCCUCGGUAGAGGUGUAUGGGAAGUCGCGAUCCCUUGGCAGAUGGGUAACAUGACUUGUGGGUAAAGAUGCGCAACCUCUGCAGAGUGUAAAACUGGUAUACUAGCCAUGCUCACGGUCAUGAGCGGCUCGGACACUCAUAUGAUUAAAUUAUGGAACUUAAACUCAAUUUGUCAUAUGCAUUGCAUCGCAGGUGAUGUUGUUACUUUUGUUCUACUACUUAAUUGGGUUGGUAUUUACUUAUACUUAGUAAUUGCUAAUAAAAAUUUGACCAACUUUAAAAGCAAUGCUUAGCUCAAACCAUCCUCUUUGGUAAGCCUUACACUUCACGUGAGCUCCCACCUUUGGCGAGUUCAUGCACAUUAUUCCCCACAACUUGUUGAGCGAUGAACGUAUGUGAGCCCACUCUUGCUGUCUCACACCCCCCCACAGGUCAAGAACAAGUACCGCAGGAUGAGGCGCUUGGAGGAUGCUGUGACGAGUUCGUGAGAGGUCUAGGCCGUCGUCUCCCAGUCAACUUUGGGUUGCUGGACCGCUGUCUCCUUAUAAUGUAAUUAUUUAUUUAUUUUGUAUAGAACUUCUAUUAUGUAGUAAAG
rnacentral:lncRNA from 1 species